rnacentral:rRNA from 1 species
GACGAAGGGGGCUAGCGUUGUUCGGAAUUACUGGGCGUAAAGGGCGCGCAGGCGGUCCUUCAAGUCAGAUGUGAAAGCCCCGGGCUCAACCUGGGAACUGCAUUUGAGACUGGAGGACUUGAGGACGGGAGAGGAGAGUGGAAUUCCCAGUGUAGAGGUGAAAUUCGUAGAUAUCGAGAGGAACACCGGUGGCGAAGGCGGCCAACUGGACGAAUACUGACGCUGAGACACGAAAGCGUGGGGAGCAAACAGG